GUUGGUAUCGCUUAGGGUUUAAAGCACUUCAUUGUGGAAGGUGUUCUGAAGAGCCGCUGGUUCGGUUCCAGCUACCGACA